GAUCAUGGCUCAGGAUGAACGCUGGCGGCGUGCUUAACACAUGCAAGUCGAACGAGGAAUUUCAAAUGAGGCUUCGGCGGAUUUUAAAAUUCUUAGUGGCGGACGGGUGAGUAACGCGUGGGCAACCUGCCCUGUACAGGGGGACAACAGCUGGAAACGGCUGCUAAUACCGCAUAAGCGCACAGCAUCGCAUGAUGCUGUGUGAAAAACUCCGGUGGUACAGGAUGGGCCCGCG
rnacentral:rRNA from 1 species